GACAGAGGGUGCAAACGUUGUUCGGAAUUACUGGGCGUAAAGCGCGUGUAGGCUGCUUCGCAAGUCGGAUGUGAAAGCCCCGGGCUCAACCUGGGAAUUGCAUUCGAGACUGAAUAGCUAGGGUACGGUAGAGGGAAGUGGAAUUUCCGGUGUAGCGGUGAAAUGCGUAGAUAUCGGAAGGAACAUCAAGUGGCGAAAGCGACUUCCUGGACCAGUACCGACGUUCAGGCACGAAAGCGUGGGGAGCAAACAGG
rnacentral:rRNA from 1 species